rnacentral:misc_RNA from 1 species
CAAGAACUGAUACCAUGUUUCCAACUUCUGAGAAACGAUACAUACCUGCUACAGCUCACAGGAAUGACCAUAUGGGUUCAACAUCUCAAAGGCAUGAUAUUACUUCACAUCCAACUUCUGAGAGGAUGUAUGUUACCAGACCAUCACAAAGGACCGACAUGGUUCCAGCUUCCCAACAGGCUGAUGCUAUACCACCGCCAUCAGAGACUAUGUAUAUGCCUAUGCCUACAAUUGUUCAGAGAAAUAACGGAGCACCACCAACAUCAGAGAGGCUAUAUAUGCCCCUAACGUCCCAAAGGUUGUAUGCUGAAAACUCAAUGAUCUCAAUUGAUGAUUUUCCCAGCCAUGGAAGCUCCCUGGCUGGGAAAAUCAUCAAUUGAGA